rnacentral:misc_RNA from 1 species
GAUGAAGAACGCAGCGAAAUGCGAUAAGUAAUGUGAAUUGCAGAAUUCAGUGAAUCAUCGAAUCUUUGAACGCACAUUGCGCCCGCCAGUAUUCUGGCGGGCAUGCCUGUCUGAGCGUCAUUUCAACCCUCAUGCCCCUAGGGCGUGGUGUUGGGGAUCGGCCAAAGCCCGCGAGGGACGGCCGGCCCCUAAAUCUAGUGGCGGACCCGUCGUGGCCUCCUCUGCGAAGUAGUAAAACACUCGCAACAGGAGCCCGGCGCGGUCCACUGCCGUAAAACCCCCCAACUUUUUAUAGUUGACCUCGAAUCAGGUAGGACUACCCGCUGAACUUAAGCAUAUCAAUAAGCGGAGGA